rnacentral:rRNA from 1 species
AGAGUUUGAUCCUGGCUCAGAUUGAACGCUGGCGGCAUGCUUUACACAUGCAAGUCGAACGGCAGCACGGGGGCAACCCUGGUGGCGAGUGGCGAACGGGUGAGUAAUACAUCGGAACGUAUCCUUGAGUGGGGGAUAACGCAGCGAAAGUUGUGCUAAUACCGCAUGAGCUCUGAGGAGGAAAGUGGGGGACCGUAAGGCCUCACGCUGAAGGGGCGGCCGAUGUCCGAUUAGCUAGUUGGUGAGGUAAAGGCUCACCAAGGCUUCGAUCGGUAGCUGGUCUGAGAGGAUGAUCAGCCACACUGGGACUGAGACACGGCCCAGACUCCUACGGGAGGCAGCAGUGGGGAAUUUUGGACAAUGGGGGCAACCCUGAUCCAGCCAUGCCGCGUGAGUGAAGAAGGCCUUCGGGUUGUAAAGCUCUUUCGUGGGGGAAGAAACGGCCAUAGUGAAUAGCUGUGGUUACUGACGGUACCUCAAGAAGAAGCACCGGCUAACUACGUGCCAGCCGCCGCGGU